rnacentral:siRNA from 1 species
GGCCGGGGGACGGACUGGGA